CUGUAGUUCAGUCGGUAGAACGGCGGACUGUUAAUCCGUAUGUCACUGGUUCGAGUCCAGUCAG
rnacentral:tRNA from 10 species